rnacentral:tRNA from 1 species
GGGCAGGUGGCCGAGUGGAAAGGCACCUGACUGUAAAUCAGGCGGUGGCGACACCAUCGGAGGUUCGAAUCCUUCCCUGCCCACCA